rnacentral:rRNA from 1 species
AGAGUUUGAUCCUGGCUCAGGACGAACGCUGGCGGCGUGCUUAACACAUGCAAGUCACGGGGGUCCGCAAGGGCAACCGGCGAACGGGUGCGUAACACGUGAGCAACCUACCUCGAUGUGGGGGAUAGCCGGCCCAACGGCCGGGUAAUACCGCAUACGAUUCUUUGGGGGAGUCCCCAGGGAAGGAAACCUCCGGGGCAUUGAGAGGGGCUCGCGGCCUAUCAGCUAGUUGGCGAGGUAACGGCUCACCAAGGCGACGACGGGUAGCUGGUCUGAGAGGAUGGCCAGCCACAUUGGGACUGAGAGACGGCCCAGACUCCUACGGGAGGCAGCAGUGGGGAAUCUUGCGCAAUGGCCGAAAGGCUGACGCAGCGACGCCGCGUGUGGGAUGAAGCAUUUCGGUGUGUAAACCACUGUUGCCCGGGACGAACAGCUUCUUUCGAGGAGCCUGACGGUACCGGGUGAGGAAGCACCGGCUAACUCCGUGCCAGCAGCCGCGGUAAUACGGAGGGUGCGAGCGUUGUCCGGAAUCACUGGGCGUAAAGGGCGCGUAGGCGGCCCGGCAAGUCAACGGUGAAAGCUUGGGGCUCAACCCCGAGUCGGCCGUCGAUACUUCCGGGCUGGAGCACUGUAGAGGCAGGUGGAAUUCCGGGUGUAGCGGUGGAAUGCAGAGAUCCGGAAGAACACCGGUGGCGAAGGCGGCCUGCUGGGCAGUAGCUGACGCUGAGGCGCGACAGCGUGGGGAGCAAACAGGAUUAGAUACCCUAGUAGUCC